rnacentral:rRNA from 1 species
UGCCAGCCGCCGCGGUAAUACGUAGGGGGCAAGCGUUGUCCGGAAUUAUUGGGCGUAAAGCGCGCGCAGGCGGCUAUUUAAGUCUUAUGUAUAAACCCAAGGCUCAACCUUGGAUCGCAUGGGAAACUGGGUGGCUUGAGUGUAGGAGAGGAAAGUGGAAUUCCACGUGUAGCGGUGAAAUGCGUAGAGAUGUGGAGGAACACCAGUGGCGAAGGCGGCUUUUUGGUCUGUAACUGACGCUGAGGCGCGAAAGCGUGGGGAGCAAACAGGAUUAGAUA